ACAACAAUAUUCGGACCGUCGGUCUACCGAGCAAUAUCACCCGCUCGUUGGAAGAUUUUCCUUUCGUCGUUUAAG
rnacentral:pre_miRNA from 1 species